rnacentral:rRNA from 1 species
UACGGAGGGAGCUAGCGUUGUUCGGAAUUACUGGGCGUAAAGCGCACGUAGGCGGCUUUUUAAGUCAGGGGUGAAAUCCCGGGGCUCAACCCCGGAACUGCCCUUGAAACUGGAGAGCUAGAAUCUUGGAGAGGCGAGUGGAAUUCCGAGUGUAGAGGUGAAAUUCGUAGAUAUUGGGAAGAACACCGGUGGCGAAGGCGGCUCACUGGCUCAUUACUGACGCUCAGGCGCGACAGCGUGGGGAUCAAACAGG